GAUGAACGCUGGCGGCGUGCCUAAUACAUGCAAGUCGAGCAAACGGACGAGAAGCUUGCUUCUCUGAUGUUAGCGGCGGACGGGUGAGUAACACGUGGAUAACCUACCUAUAAGACUGGGAUAACUUCGGGAAACCGGAGCUAAUACCGGAUAAUAUUUUGAACCGCAUGGUUCAAAAGUGAAAGACGGUCUUGCUGUCACUUAUAGAUGGAUCCGCGCUGCAUUAGCUAGUUGGUAAGGUAACGGCUUACCAAGGCAACGAUGCAUAGCCGACCUGAGAGGGUGAUCGGCCACACUGGAACUGAGACACGGUCCAGACUCCUACGGGAGGCAGCAGUAGGGAAUCUUCCGCAAUGGGCGAAAGCCUGACGGAGCAACGCCGCGUGAGUGAUGAAGGGCUUCGGAUCGUAAAACUCUGUUAUUAGGGAAGAACAUAUGUGUAAGUAACUGUGCACAUCUUGACGGUACCUAAUCAGAAAGCCACGGCUAACCACGUG
rnacentral:rRNA from 1 species